ACUGAGCAGUCUUCAGACAGAAAUUUUAAUCUGAGUUUCAGUUAACCGUAUCCGUGAAGUUCAGUAUAAAUGGAGAAAUAUGUGGUUGAAGCAGUACUUCGCUAACGCAGUUACCAGAUUAAUUUUGCAGUCGACUGUGAGACUCGACAUAAACCUUUAAUCCAAAUCUUGGUGCCUUUAUAUCUGCUUUACAAUGACCAAAACCUCCAGAACAAUAAGAUUUUUGUUGCCUUUAUCUUACAAAGCAAUUGGAAUUGGAUUUAUAGGAGGUGGAAUCUAUGGGAGUAUUCUUCUGUAUAUUGCUUGGGAUGAUGUCGCUCCAGAUGGAGAGAGAGUAGAUCGCACCCUUAGUAUAGUCUUCAUAACGGCUUUGACUUUGACUGGUCUAUAUUUCCUCAGAUUAUGAAGGACUUCGCUUCUAGUCAAGUGAUAUCAAGAAUUUUGCUGUCAUUUAUGUACCUUACUCGAAUUUUAAAAAGAAUAAAUUCAUGGAAGCUUUGUGGUUA